GAUGAACGCUGGCGGCGUGCCUAAUACAUGCAAGUCGAGCGAACGGACGAGAAGCUUGCUUCUCUGAUGUUAGCGGCGGACGGGUGAGUAACACGUGGAUAACCUACCUAUAAGACUGGGAUAACUUCGGGAAACCGGAGCUAAUACCGGAUAAUAUUUUGAACCGCAUGGUUCAAAAGUGAAAGACGGUCUUGCUGUCACUUAUAGAUGGAUCCGCGCUGCAUUAGCUAGUUGGUAAGGUAACGGCUUACCAAGGCAACGAUGCAUAGCCGACCUGAGAGGGUGAUCGGCCACACUGGAACUGAGACACGGUCCAGACUCCUACGGGAGGCAGCAGAAGGGAAUCUUCCGCAAUGGGCGAAAGUCUGACGGAGCAACGCCGCGUGAGUGAUGAAGGUCUUCGGAUCGUAAAACUCUGUUAUUAGGGAAGAACAUAUGUGUAAGUAACUGUGCACAUCUUGACGGUACCUAAUCAGAAAGCCACGGCUAACUACGUG
rnacentral:rRNA from 1 species